UUUUUUUUUUUUUUUUGUUUUGGGUCCAGAUGCAGUCACUUGGAACAACAGUGAUGACUAGCAUUAGCGACCACAAAUUAAUACUAGUAGACAGCAUGCCAUAAUCAACUAUAGUUAGGAAAAUUAAUGAUCGCUAACUAAAACCUUUUCAAACAUGGUAAGCUGAUGAUGACACUUUGCCAGGUAUUAACCACUCGCUUUUCAUCUAUAGAAGCGAGCAUUAAUAGUUUUUGUCCAGCAAAAGAGACUAGUGAGAUUCGAUUUUCAUCUUUAGGAUGACAAUGAUCUGAUUUCUCCUGGUUUGGAUCGCAAUUUUUCUUCAAAAAUUUUUUUAUAUUUUUUAUGAAUAAAUUUUUUAAUUAUUUUUUUUAUUUCACAAACAUCAAAUCGUUAUAAUACAUAUUUUUUACAAAAAAUAUAAUCCAAACAUAGAGGUGCACGAUUGUUUGGACUGACAAGAUACCACGAGAGACAUUGCUUCAACUACCAACCGUGCACUCACGAAAUACACCAAAAGUUGUCACAAAAUGAACCACAAUAUUGGAGCUUUGAAUUUGUGGACUACUAUCCAAUCGUUUAGAACUUCAAAUAACUCCAAGCGAGACUUGCCUCUCCCAUUAAUGAUGCUACUGACCAUGAGUUUCAUUUUCAAAAUGGAUAAUUUCAGAAACCUCCUCUAAAAUUUUUAACUGUUUUACCAGUCUCUUUUUAGGUUUUUAAAAUUACAUUAAUUUCUCUUGAAAUUAAUUAUCUGGUAACAUUUAGACUCAAUCAAUAGUUUAAAAGUAAUAUUAGGAGAGAUAAAAUUAUAUAAUUUCGUCAUUGUCUCUCACCUAUUAUAUUAUUUAAUUAAAUUAAUACCAACUCACACAUUAAAGAAAAACAUUAAAAUUUGCUGUUAUCGUUAGGAUUAGAUCACAUAUAACAUCAAAAAAUAGUAUAUCAUUUUAUAUUUUUUUUUACUUAAUAUGAGAUAUAAAUUACUUUUUUUAGUUAUAUACGUAUUGUCAAAUAUGAUCAAUAACAAAUAAUUAAAAAAUUUGCAACCAAAGUAUUAUAAAGAAUAAACUUUAAUAUCAUAAAUACUCUUGCCAACAUAUUAAGUUUAGCUGUUAAAAUUUUUAUGGUAUUAAAAUUCAUUCUUUGUAAUAAUUUGGUUGCAGAUUCUUUUGAUUAUUUAUUGUUGAUCACGUUGGAUAAUGGGUUUAUAACUGAAAAGAGUAAUUUGGAUAUUACGCUGAGUGAAAUAUAUAUAAUGAUACAUUAUUUUUGAUGCUAUAUGUGAUUUAGUUCGUAAUGAUCAACAACAAAUUCUAGUAUUUUCUUUAAUAUUUGAUUGAUAUUUGAUUAAUUACACAAUUUAGUGGACGAGGCGUAAUGGUGGAAUCAUAUUAUCGUUCUUCUCAUAAUAUCAUUUUUUUAAUUAUUGGUUGAAUCUAAAUGUUACAAGUUAAUAAAUCUCAAUAGAAACUAGUAUAAUUUUCAAAAUUUGAAGGGAGGUCAAUGAAAUAGUCAUAAACCUCAAGGGAUGAGGUUUCUAAAAUUAUCCCUUCUCAAAAAGACCAUAUAGGAGAAAUUAUACGUUGAUAAGUCUAGUCGUUACUUUUAAAAGAAAUAAGUCUAGUCGUAGUUAGGGUUGCAAAUGAGUUGAGUCGAGUUAAAUUUUGAACUUUUCGAAUUGAGUUUGACUUGUUAACAUACGAGUUUGAAUUCGAGCUCGAGUUCGUCGAGUCAUAAAAAUAAAACUCGAGUUCGACUCAACCUAGAAAAAGGUAAGUUCAAAUCGACUCGUUUUUGGCUCACGAAUUUAGCUCAAUUUCUGGCUCACGAGCUGUUUGAGAUGUCAACUCGAGUUUUGGUCAAUAUUCUGGCUUAUGAGGAAUUCGAAGUCAAUUUAAUUUUAAUUGAUGUAGGGACAUUUUUAUAAUUUCACAUCAACUCGAGUUUUUUCAAGCGUUUCGUGAAACUAUCGAACCCAACAAGUGACUACCCAAGUUCGACUCGUAUAUAUUAACGAUUUACUUGAGUUCGAACUUAGCUACUUGAGAGCCAUUCGUGUGGAUUGCAGCCCUAGUCACAGCAACAAAUCUGGGUGACUUGGACACUAACCUAACUUAAAUGAGUGAAUUCUAUUCUGUUGUGGGAUGGUGGUGGCAGAAUCAGCAAUGUCCAUUUUUCAACGGCAAAAACCCAAAAGUUGAUAGUACACGAUAAAGCGGUGGAUAUUCCACUUGUCACCUGGUCGUUUCCUGUCUUUUUGCGUGUGGGCAACACAUCGUCACUCAAUUUCACUUAGUCACCAUUUUUCGGACUCGGGGCACGGACGGUUGCAGGUGCAACCGUCCAGGGCAAUUUUGGCCAUUAUCAACUGCGCGUAACUUUCUUUGUAUAUCGUGUAACUUUUUUUUCACAUGAUGUAUUUUCACAACAGAUAGUGGUGGGUCCCACACUUGGCGCGGAAAUCGAGUUACAUGGUGUAAUCUCAGCCGCACAAAAUUUUGAGGGCAAAUCUUGGCCCUUAACCGUGCAGGGACGGUCAUCAGUAUGACUGCGUAGGGAUUGGUGGUACACAAACUGAUAAACUUCGUCUCUCUAAACUGCGGAUUGAGCUGGCUCCUUUUUUUUAGAGGGAGUCAAACCUACUAGAGGCACUUGACUUUUUUGUUCUCGACCAAAUCAAAGCCGUAAUACUAAUAUCUCUCUCUUAUUUCUUGCACUGCCAUAACUCCUGAACAUAUUAUUGUACUCCCUCCGUCCCGUUUUGUUAGUCUUGGUUUUUUUUUCACACAGAUUAAAAAAGUGUAAUUAAUUUGAUUGGAAACAUAAAUUUAGAUUAAUAAUUUCCUAAAAUACCCUUAUGCUAAUCACGAAGAGUGCCAAUUAAUAUCAGUUACAGCUAAUGGGUUAGUAUUGGAAAAGUUCAAUGUAUUCAAUGUAGUGGGUUAGUAUUUAAUAACAAUGUAUUAAUAACAAGAUAUUUAAUAAGGGUAUUUUAGACAAUUUGAAAGAUUACUACAUUUCUUAAUGGGAAAGUGGACUACAAUUUGGGACAAACGAAAAAGGAAAACAAGACUAUCAAAGUGGGACGGAGGGAGUAAGAAUCAAACAGCACUCCGUUGACAAAGAGGCGUCAUAUUAUUAUGAGUAGUGGCGUGCUCUAUUCUAUUUGGUAGCUGAGUACCACACAACCUAUUCCACAAGCACUCAUCAUUUAUCAAGAAAUUGUGAUUAGUGCACUGGCAACUCGAAUUACACACUUAGAACCAAAAAUUAUUUAUGUGUUCUUCGAACUAAGCACCCUUUGCCGAACCGUUGAAACUCAGUAACCAAAAAUUAAUGCUGUAGAACGUAUUUAUAUGGUCUUUGAUUCGAACUGCGCCAACUCAAGUACUGAUGGGUUUGACAUUUUUUAGUCACCUUGGUUGAGCUUCUUUAUAAACAAAACGAUAAAGGUUUAUGGUGCCAACGAGUCUCAGAACUCAUUGAGGUCAUUUAAUUAAGUGCAGAUCAGAUAGACAAAUAUUUUAGAGAAUUAAUAUUUCGGAAUGUGAAAGACAGCUGAACCUCCACUUUUUUUUUAUAGGGCAAGAAUCCCACCAAAUUUUCCAGGACAUAAGUCCUAUUCCUGUACAAGUAAUACACCAAUUAAGUUCUCAUUAAGCCGUGUAUAUAUUGCAGAAUCUCAGUCGGGAAUAAAGAAUGCAAAAAGAAAUCCGCAUCGUAUGUAUAUCCUGCUAUUCAAGCGGGACAGUUCAGUAGGAGAAAGCAUACAACUCAAAACUCAAGUGUACCCAUAUACAGUUUGACAAAUUAGCCCGAGUACUGUAUGAUCGAACAAAAGGCCGAAGGAGUGGAAAGUAAGGAGAAGAAGAAAGAACGAGGACGUUUCCAGCUCUAGUCAAAAGGCCGAAGGAGUGGAAAGUAAGGAGGAGAAGAAAGAACGAGGACGUUUCUAGCUAGCCUGGGUACGUUUUAAUUAAUGCUCGACCCUGUGGGGAUAUCGCAUGCAUAUGCAUAUGGGCAAAUUUUCAACGGGUAUCCAUUGUGGAGGAGAAUGAUGAAACGCACUCAUAAACUCGCUAAAAAUUCCCCCUCCCUCAUUCGAAUUAUGCCACUUUCUUAUGCUUAAAUUUCUGUAAAUUUUUCUUGCAGAUAGGUUUCUAUCAACAGCAAUUGCUUUGAAUCCAAUGAAUUCAUCAAAUGCACGUCCCACAUUUAAACCUGAAAAUCCUUCUUCUUCUUAAAUAAAAGUAUAAAAACCUCCUCAUGAUUCAUGAACUGCCGGUGCUUGGAAACUUAACGCUGAUUAAUAUCGUGCACCAAGUAUAUAUAAUCAUGAUACAAAUGCAUCACCUCCAUGGCCUUUUUUUCACAUAUGGAAUAUUAAUUAAUCAAGAUUUUGGUCCAUGAGGGUAUUUUGCUCUUCAGAAAAAAAAAAAAAAAAAAUCCCAUGAAAUUUUUUUUGUUAAUGGAUGAAAACGUGACACCAUUCAUUUGCAUUUGCCUGCUCUUUAUCUGCUUAUCGUCUUAAUUUGUGGAACUUUCUCGCGUCCAAAACGUGUAGUGACAAUCUAUUAAGACAUUUCUUUUCGCCAAUUGGAUUAUGCGAUCAGGGGGGUGUACGUACGUUUUAGUGCUUAAAUAGUAGGUAGCUAGGUAAAAUUUUCCCCAACUGAUAUUAUUAGAUUCCACUCGGGCGGCUAUUUUGUAUUUGAGCAAAGGUAGGUCUAGCUAGUAGUUUGCUGUUUAUAAAAAGUUUAAAUUGCUUUUACUAAAGUUUCCUAAAUUCAGAACGGCAGUUCAUAGUGCCUGACAUUUAUAAGAGAUCAUCUCUUAUCCUAUUUGUCUUUAUAGGCACAUGCAUAAGAGAGAAAGCCUUUUUGAAAAAAUAAACUUUUUUUUUUUAAAAAAAAAAAACUAUACUACAUCAAUAUUAAUUGUCUACAUUUAACGGUGAUUUCAACCUGAGAUAUGAUACAUCAAAAUUAAGGACCGUCGUAAUUGUCUAACACAUUCCUAAACUUGAAUAUUUUUAAAUGCUGGAAAAUAAACAUGCAUGCUAUCAAGUCCAUAACUUUAAUGGCGGUUAAAUUUUAAUUACCCACAUUCCUCAGGUGCUGGAGGUCGCCUGUCUAUAAGUACGGAUGAUUAGUACAAAAGUUAGGCCAGGAUGAUCAAUGAUGAUGUACGACACUACUGCCAUUUUCAUUCUGUUAGCUUUAAACUCUACCCCCUCCCACCGCCGCCGUGUGGCCGUGGAAAUUUUAUUGGAAAGUGGCCUUCAAACACUAGAGCACGACAAGUUUCUUUCGAGAAAGGUCACUAUCUUAGUAGUAUUAAAUUAAUAGCACUAAAGAUAAAGAAGACAUAAAAUGUGAUCACUAAUCAAAAGCUCUUGUGUGGUACAGACACCGUACUUCUAAAGUAAAGCAGCCGUGGUUAGAGUUAGACAGCAAAAAAGCAUUUUGACUCAUUUCUCCACCGGACGUUGGAAAUGGAGGCCAAUACCGUUGUAGCUGUAAUUUUCUAAUGUUUAUUUCCAGAAUUUUCUUAGAUAAUAAUCAUCACGUCUGACGUGCUACCAUUACUCAAAGAUACUCUCAAAGAUUUUCUAUGACAGGUAUUAUAAUCCAUUGUAGUUUUCACUGUACAAGGUUAGCGCCAGUUGUUAUUUACCCAUAUGAUGAAAUGGUAAAAGUCUCUCCAUCCAAACGAAAUCAAUGCAUGGUCAUAUUCGUGCUUCUUAUGAAUUGGACAUUCUUAAGUUUAUUUGGACCAUACGAUGGAGGACGAAUUUUAAUAUAUCUGAAUCUAAGUAUAUAACAUAACAUAUUAUCUAAUUUUUAUGAAGUUUAUAUUUUAUAGUUGCAACAUAAAUUCUGCCAACGUAAAAAAAAAUAAUCGUUUUAAACCCCUCAUAUAAUGAUAGUGGGUCAUUUCUUGUCAGUGAGUACCGUGAACACCGCAAUAAUAUGAAUUCCUAUCUCAUUCAUCAACCUCUUAGCAUUUGGUUAUCGACCCGCCAAGGUCUCGAUUAACGGAGGUAUUAACUAAGAUUUAGUCCCUAACAUAUUAUCUAAUUUUUAUGAAGUUUAUAUUUUAUAGUUGCAACAUAAAUUCUGCCAACGUAAAAAAAAAAAAUCAUUUUAAACCCCUCAUAUAAUGAUAGUGGGUCAUUUCUUGUCCAGUGAGUACCCUGGACAUCGCAAUAAUAUGAACUCCUAUCUCAUUCAUCAACCUCUUAGCAUUUGGUUAUCGACCCGCCAAGGUCUCGAUUAACGGAGGUAUUAACUAAGAUUUAGUCCCUAACAUAUUAUCUAAUUUUUAUGAAGUUUAUAUUUUAUAGUUGCAACAUAAAUUCUGCCAACGUAAAAAAAAAAAGAAGAUCAUUUUAUACUUGGCAAUUUUCUAUUGCUUUUAAUUCAUGACAUGAGAAUAUUAUAUGGCAUAUGAUCUAUAUAAUAUUUUUCUCAAAAAAUUACUUUAAAAUAAUGGUGUCUUCAAAGCACAUCUAGCUAGUAACAAGUGUGUUUGAAUAGGAAAUUAUUUAAAAUAAUUAUUAUGAUCUUUUUUGUGACAUGAUAUAUGUGAAAUAAAAAGGUGAUUGAGAAGAUAAAAAGUUGAUUAGAUAUUGUAUUGUGAUGCAAGCAAAAUGUUAGCAUGUUAUUCAUAAUCUAGAGUUAAGGGUGGUUUAAUUACCCGUCCCAUUUUUAAUUUUUAAAAAAACUAGUAAAAGUCUUUCUAUCCAAACAUAUUAAUGCAUGGUUAAUCUUGAGGCAGCUUCAAUGAUUUUUUUUUUUGGACUUUCUAUUAAGUUAACGUGGGCGGGACUGUGCAUAGAAGAAAAAUUGACCGGUGGUAUCAUGAACUCUGCCAAAAGGAAAAAGAUCUUGGAAACCACUCCCACUCCCUCCCUUAGAGUUAAAAGAAGACAAAACCACGGAUUGACUUUGCUGUAGACAAAAUUAAAAUAAGAAAAAUAAAAAUGAUGAUGCAUUCCGGUUAAUGACAAUUACUAGUGGCCCAAUACGAAGCACCUAAACGGAAGCCGUCCUAUGAUUAAUCAUGCCUAGGCUUACUCUCAGUCGUGCCAACUCAACCUCUCCUUCCUUAUCGUCUCAAAAUCCAAUUGUCCGUUCUUUGACUUCUUUGAAUUGAUGCCUCUCAGCUUGAUCAUUAUUCGCAGCUAGCCCAGUAAUAGAUUGCUUAAAGGGUGUUUGGUAAGUGGAUUUUAUAUUAAGGAAUGAGUUUUGAAGAGUAUGCCGAAAUCACAAUUCGAACAGAGCUUCUGUGUGUGUUCCCGAACUGACCUGCAAUAAGUCGAACAGAGGGACUAGCUCUCCGUUGUAACUCCGACGCUCAAAUCAGUUGAGAAAUAAGAGGGAAUAGAGAAAGUAAUUGUAUUGUAUGGCGUUGUGUGUGUAUGUACCUUGUUAGGUUCCCUCCGUUCCUUAUUUAUAGAGCUGCUAGCGAUAAUUUUCAGGGAAUCCAAAGUUAUUCCACUACGCACAGUAAUUAUCUCAUUAGAAUAUGAGUUCUACUGGAUCACUAGAAGCAGAGCCCCUCUUGGACUCUAAUCCUGGCCUUGUCCCGAAGAAUGAGGAGCUUCCUUGCCAGUUCGACCUAUGACCAAACAGGCUCAUAUGUUGGGCCGAACUGGCCCGAAAGAACUGACACAUGUCGGUGGACAAUUAGCUCCUCUACAAGUUUCAAACUUAAUCAUAAUAUGAUCAUACUGAUAGUUUGGUUAAAAUUAAUCAGAAUGAGAUAAUGAACACGAUAGACCCAUUCUAUGAGUUUUGUGAUUAAUUAUAUUUCAGUAGACAAUUAAAAUUUGCUUAACCAUGUAUCUCAUAUAUUUUUAAUUAAAAAUAAAAAGAAGUCAAUUGUAAAAGAGCAGUGAAAAAAAUAGGAGAAAGACGACGAAAAAGGAAAAAAUUGUAAAACCUAUGUCUAGAUUUUAGUUGCCAAACAGUGUACGAAUUUCGACAAAAACCCAUUUCCAUUAACCUGUAAAUCAUAAUCAUUAUGAUUGUGACUGACGAACUUUUAUCAGAGGUUUCUUAAUUCAGCCACUUUGCUAAAAAGUUCAGAUAGCAAAAACCAGCAAAAAGGCAGCUAAAUUAGGAGAUGAUAUAUUAGCUUUUUCAACAUCAAAACGAAAAAGAAAAGGGAAUUAGGAGAUAAUAUAUCUGUCACUAAUAAGAUGGAAAUGCUCUCUGACUUUAUCGCCAUUUUCGAGACCGGAAACUAAAACCAUGUCAUGGGUAGCAGCCGAUAGAAGAGCCAUUGAGGGGAGUUGAGUUAAUGGGCGCAGUAAUGUCGGCCUCCGUCUUAAGCUGACGGAGAGUAUGGUGCUUGCUUGCCCACCAACCCAAAUGCCUAAAGCAGGAACGAUCUUUAAACCUGAGAGCCUGAACCCCGAAGUGUACUCUAACUAAUACUACAAUGAACUAUGUGCAUGUGCUACAUCAAUCAAAUCAUUUUUGUUGCUUGCAUCGUAUUAUCCAAUCAACAAGUUCCAAUAGUGGCCAUUUGAUUGAUGCCCAGUAGUAACGUAGUGUGGACAUUCCAUCAAGGACAUGAUUGUUAUUUUUAGGAUUUUUUUUUUAAAAAAAAUGUAUCGUAGCGAUUUGAUAUAUAUGAAAUUAAAAAUUAAAAAAUACUUUUACAAAAAACGUAAAAAGUUUUUGACAAAAAAUCACAAACCAAACCAGGCAGGCUUUCUAUAUGUACCUAUGCUUUAAAAUUCAGGCUAAAUAGUGACUUAGAUUAGAGUUAAAGAUUAGGGGUUAAUGACUUCGACUGAUCGGACUGAUGUUAAAUAAUUGAAUAAUGUUAUAUAAUUAAAAUUUUAUUAUAUUAUAUAUAAAAAUUAUAUUCUUAACAUGGAUAAGAAUGUUAGUUUUAUUUCUCAAGUUUUAUUAGCAAACAUUCUAUACUCCAAUGCCCUUUAAACUUAACUCAAAGUUGACGAUUGGAAGUUAUAAAUACAAAUUGACAGAUUUUUCGGUUAAACACAGUUUUGACCGAAUAUUUGACAGAUGAGUUUUUGAAGAAACUUGAAUCAAGUGUCUGAUCAAUUACCGGCUUAAACAGUUGGAUCGAUCGAUCCCGUCCGAGUUAAAGGCAUAGGUAUAUACAUUUAGGUACGCACUAGUAAGCGCUUCUGGUGUGUCCCCCCCCCCCCCCUCUUCUCCCAAAAAAAAAAAAAAGCUUUUUUGGUUUUUUGGUUUAAUAAAUAAUCCUGAUGGUGCGUAAGGAGCGCGUUCCACUUCCGAAUGCACGAGUCACUAAGUUUCGAAGACAAAACUUUCAACGUGUGAAAAGACACACCUGACUGAUCAUGAGAACUACAAUUGCAUAUGAUGCUUGGUGUAGUACGACCAAAUCAAAUUACUGGAAAAGGUUUCAAUAUUUUUCUUUGGCGAACGCAAUUUAGGUAACGACUGCGACUCGUAUAGUCGUAUGUCUACCUCUCUGCCGGCUAACUAUAUAAUCAUCUCAUCAUGCGUGCAUGGUUGCAUCGCCCAUAUCCCAGCUCUCUUACGACUAGCAAAGAUAUACGGGCACCUGACAAGAGUAACAGUACUACCCAGUAUCAACUCUACCAGGCCCAAAAGAUAAAGAGAAUUGAGCAAGAAGGAGUGAUGAACUCAACCGUCAUUCCAAUUCCUCCAAGUGCAGAAAAUGUUGAAUCCUCGUAUAAGGACGCCAAAAACAUGGGAAACAAGUUUUCGUUUCUAUCCACUUGUAGUGUUGCUUUCCGGGUCAUCCAGGAAAAAAGAUGUAGUCAGGGCAGCAUGAGAAAAGUGAUUCACAGUGUCAAGGUGGGGAUUGCCUUGGUAUUGGUCUCGCUGCUGUAUCUGCUGGAUCCGCUGUUCACUGAAGUUGGAGAAAAUGCAAUGUGGGCUAUCAUGACCGUCGUGGUUGUCUUCGAGUUCUCUGCAGGUUUGCCAAUUAUUAACCCAUUAUUGUGACCCAAGUUGUUUAGUGGAGUACUAAAAACAUUUUUUCUGUGCAUGGCUGUUUGCGAAUAUAUGCAUAGGAAUUUUUUUUUUCUUUUUUCCUUUUUGGGCAAUAAACACACUAGUCAUAAGUACUAAUAGGAAGCAGGUUGAGAAACUUCUACUGUAGCCAUUUUUUGGGUCAAUCAAUUAGACAAUAUACUAACUGAUGUAUUCACUUUGAUUUGAUGCACGUAUGUCAGGAGCUACGCUAAGCAAAGGCAUAAACCGUGCAAUCGGUACCAUAUUAGGCGGUGGAUUGGGGUGCUUGGCUGCAAUGUUGGCUGACGAGUUCGGAGGGAUAGGCAACGCAAUCGUUGUUGGCGCUUCGGUUUUUAUCGUCGGUAAAAUAUUAAUCCUACCACGACUUAAACUCUGGACCGCAGUUUUGUGUGUGUGUGUGUAUACAUACAUACAUAUAUAUAUAUAUAUAUAUAUAUAUUAGUAGUACUUAAAAGUGACUCACUGCUUAAAAAAUCAUACUCAGGAGCGGCCGCAACGUAUUCGAGGUUGGUUCCAAGAAUUAAAAGGAGAUAUGACUAUGGCGUCUUGAUCUUCAUCCUCACCUUCAAUCUGGUAGCUGUGUCGGGGGUACGGGCCGACAAAGUGAUCAGGUUAGCCAAGCAGCGUCUGUCAACCAUUGGCAUGGGUUUUGCUGUCUGCAUUUUCACCAACUUGCUUAUUUUUCCAAUUUGGGCUGGUGAUGAGCUUCAUCGUUCUACAGCAGCUAAAUUCGACAAACUCGCACGUUGCCUUGAAGGUAAUUUUUUGAAAUUAGUUCUACUUCUGUACUUGGCGUAUAUACCUAAAUCGGGGAAUCAUUGUAUUGUUUGGCUUUUUUAAUUAAAGCAAAGGCAUGCACAAUGUAUUAGCCGCGCGAUUUCACUGAACGGAACAUCAUAUAAGUAAAUGAAUGGCGGAUUUGAUUAAUUUGUAGGAUGUUUGGAGGAGGAACCCAACAACAAAGCAGAAAAUCUGGGCGCCAAGGUCAAGGACUGCAAGUCAGUGUUCCACUCCAAGUCCACCGAUGAAUCACUGGUACGUUUUGAUCUGCUUUUAGAAGACACACACACACACAAAAACAACAGUUAUAUAUAUAUAUAUAUAUGGAGUUCUUGAAAUAAAUAAUUGGUGGGUGGAGAAACAAUCAGAUUUUAAUGGGAGUUUUUUAUACUAUUAGUAAUUUUCCCUGUCAGGGCACGUGUAUUUUACCUGCAAAUUUAAGAAACUAAUCCUUCUAACAAUAAUUAAUGCAGGCCAAUUUUGCUAAAUGGGAGCCCUGGCAUGGGAAAUUUGGAUUGUCUCAUCCAUGGGACAAGUAUCUGGAGAUUGGAGAGGUCCUGAGGGAGCUCGCCGCCUUAAUCCUUUCGCUCGGAGUGUGCGUUCAGUCAUCCAGACAGGUGUUCAAUUGAGUGACAGUCCUACUCCUCUCCAUGUUGUUCUUCAUCCCCACCCCCCAACAACCCCACAAACAAAAAAAUAAUAAUAAUAACGCAUUCUGCAUCCAUUCCUGGGUUUUUUUUUUUUUAAAAAAAAAAAUUUAAAAUUCUGAAAAAAAAUAUUUUUUUUUUCUUUUUUCCGGCUCCAUCCAUCAGGCUGCAGCAAACCAAAGCCGCGCAAUCAGAGAACCGUGCGAAAUCAUAGGGUUGUCUCUUGCAUGGAUAUUGAGAGAGCUGGGCGAGAGCAUCUUCAACAUGACAAGGUGCCGAGCCAAGGCUUUGAUAGCACCAAAGCUGGAGUUCAUUAAACAAGAACUAAGCCGGUUGGGCUCUUCUCUGCAAAUCAAAGGACUAGAAAAAGAUGAAAAUCUUGCGAUGGCAACCUUCACUUUCCUCUUAAUGCAGAUAUCAGAAAAUGUGGAAGUAAUAGCGCAAGAGGUGGAAAAACUGGGACAGCUUGCUUAUUUUAGGACCAAGAACCCAGAUGUUUAACAUUAAUCAAUACACUUGAUUUUGGCAUCAAUCAAUAUACUUGAAAUAACAAGUAAAUCGACUGUGUGGUCAAUCCAGUGAAAUAUCACCUUUCCUCUCUCUCUGAAUUCAGGAAAAGGCGAAAAUGAAACAUAAAUAUGGCGACCCGAUGGAAGUGUGACAGUAGUGUGAUACGACGUAUUAGCUAGAAUUGUAGCACUGCAGUUGAUGCAUCAUCAUUUUUUGUUAUGUGUAAGCAACUAUUACCAGUGCCUUCAAAUGUUGUCUGUAUAUAUAUAUAUAUAUGGCCUCAUUAAUUCAUCUUUCUUGAUGCAUCAUCUUUUUGUACUUGCGCAUGAUAUGGUGUGUCAAGUCAACACGGGUGAUUUUGUUAGCUAAGUACUGCAACAAAAUCUGAUCCUAUGGUUUUUUUUUUGUUUGUGUUUCUACAAAUCUAGGAGGUUAACACUCUGUUACCGCAAGGAUUUUUAUAUGCUUAUUAAGAAAACGUAGGGUAAGGACGCAAGAAUAUUUUUUAACCUUUUUGCAGGAUAAAUAUUACUUAAACGCAACCAAAUAUCAAAUAUUGGGUACCUUUAAUAUGAAAAUAAACCAUUAUACCCUCAUAAGCUUCCUCGUCGUUGGCUUUGUUGAGUUUACAGUGCAGCUUUUUCUUUUUUCUUUUAUCCAAGGAAUAAAAAUAAAGAUAAAAAGGAUAAGAGAAUAGGGAUGCCCUUGGGCCCCCCCCCCCCCAAAAAAAAGAAAAAAAAUUUGCAUCCAAAUCACUCAUCAAUAAUGAGGAGUAUUAACAUUUUAGCAUAAGGUCCAGACUUAUCAACCCGGGAUUUCACCAAGAUGGUCAAAAAAAAAAAAAAAAAACACUCACCCCCUUUGACCUCUGGUGUUUCUUCCUUCUCAGCUUUUUCUUCACAAAUUAUUUCUGACUUCAUGAAUAUCCAACAGUUACAAUAGAUAUUUAUGGCUACCCAUUUGUCGGUGGUAAAAAACACACACACAAGCACAAAAAUCACAAAAUUCUACUUCUACCACAAAUUUUAUAAACAACUCAAAUUUUGAUAUGACGAGACACAUAGGUUGUGUUCGCAUACAAGGUGCUCAACUCAUGCAAUGAUGCUUUAUUUCCAAGACAACCCAUCGAUCGUUUGGUACGCUGAAAAGGGUCAGAUCGAUAUGAGCACCGGUAGUUGGAAAGACAUCCAAAAUCGCAUACAUUGAGAAUGAUGAUGGUAAUUUGCAAUAUCAGAAAACGUAAAGCUUCGAUCACACACACGUUCGCUGGUAUCCAGUACAAAGGGAAAUCACCACUAAAAGGGGUACUGCUCGUACCUCAUCGAACAAUCGAGGAGCACAGCACGAGCACCAAUCCGGCUACCGCAACCGCUGAUCAUCGUCGUAUUAGCAGCAACUAGACAUUUUUCACAAUCUGAGCUAGUUAUGUUUUUGUUGCAAUUUGCUUGGCCGUAGGCAAAAGCAUUGGGAUAAGGAGAAAUAUUGCGGUAAUCAUAACCUUUGCGCGAUGGCGUCUGAGUCUCUAAAUCUGCAAUAACAUAUGCAAGACUGAUAGCAAAAGGAUCACCUCGAAAAUACACCCCAGAAUUGCACAGCACGGUCACGACUUGGGUGUUUGCAGCACUUUCCACGGACCAACAAAGUGAACCCGCCAUCCCAACAACUAAUAUUGCUGCAGAAAUUGCCGUAACGUGUCGAGCAAGACCCAUGAUUUCUUUUGCUUGGUCUUCUUCUCUGGAGCUUCGUCUUUUAUUUAUGGUUGAUCUUUUGCAAGUUGAAAAUUGAAAUGCCCCGCAUUUAGUUUGUUUAUCGUCGGCGAUGUCCUCGUUUUGGGCUGUUUCUUGCUUGUCUCGUGAUGGUGGACCGGUGGUCGCAUUUCGUGCCGGCCUCGUUCGCUGAUUGGACGUUGGUACUGAGGAAUUCAUUUAAACAAGGAAAAAACAAAGUUAAUUUUGGUAAGCCAAGCCUUUACCAAAAAAAAGGUAAGCCAAGCCAGGCCCGGCAACUUCUGUUGUCUCCUUAGUAGAUGUCACAAGCAAAGACAGAUAACAAAAGAUAUUUUGGUGCCACCAAUAAUGGUUUCGAGGGGCGUUAAUCUGAAUUCAAUGCCCACCAUGUGGAAAACAUUUUCUUGGGUAUCUCACUGCUACGCAUGGUGGAAUUUAAUUAUUGUGGUAAAUGGUAGGGAUAAUUUCAAAAACGAAGUUACUGACAAUAAUAUCAUUGAGCUCGUCUAACUAAGGUUUGUAAACUUACAACUACCUUCCUUGAUUUAAUAGUUUUAGUAACCAAAUCUUAAAAUAACAUUACCUUGAUCAAAAUAUUUAAAUGAAUAUCCUAAAAUACCCUCAUUUAAUGAAUUUUAAUUUACUUCCAUACAUAAUUGUAAAAUUAUCUAGCACAAUUAUAAGGAACAGAUGCCAAAAUUUUCAUAUUCAUAUCUAUUGUUUGAUAAAUAGCUAUAAUAACAAUAAUUUUAUAGCUAUUACAGGAUAUUUUUGAUGGUGUUUUACUAGGGAUUUAGAUUUAUAGGAUAGAAACGAAAGUGUUCAAAUAUUAUCUUUUAGACUUUAUGAAUUUUUCAAAUGGUGGAAUUAUUAUAAUUUGGUAGUAAUUUUGGGCCAUUUGUUUUAGAUUUAUCAUUGAUGUUGAUACCAAUAAAAAUAAAAUAGAAAAACAAAGAUCACCGUAAACGUUGGAUUACAUUCAAAGUUAACUCAUUAAAAAAAAUAUUACUAAUUCAACAUUUUGUUACAACAGAAACUAAAAGCAAUAGUGGCCGUCCAUGAUUUUGUUGACAAAAUAUAAAAAAAGACGAUGAAGAAGGGAAACGGACUAGAAAAUGAAAGUCCUAGUUGACUUUAGACUCAUCAAAUUGCAAUCUUCUCAAAUUUUGAGUCAUUAGAAAAUAUAAAGAGGGUAAUAUUUUUUUUUUUUUUUUUAAAAAAAAGGUAGAGUGGGCAAUGGGUAUGUGGGAUAAACUGGAAUAGUGGGAAAGGGAAGUUGAUAGGUAUUUUAUAAAUUCUACCAUGCUCAUAAUAUGAAUGGUAUCAGAAAAAGCGACAUUACAUCCAAAAGUUCGUAAUUUUCAUUUUCAGAUACAAUUUGAUACCAAAUUACUAAUGUUGGGCACAUCAGUUGCUACUAAAGUCAACAAAUUUCCUUUGUAUAUACCGUUCCAAAUGUACAAUUUACAGAAAAUCAAUGAAAAUGUAAUAUAAUUACAUGUAUAACUUGUGAUCUGGUAAAAUCGUUCAUACAAUCUAGAAUAUACAGAUGCUUUUUCCAGCAAUGCUGACAAAUUAGCAUUGGCAUGGAGCCCUUAGACAAGCCCGAUUGUGAGCUUCACGGAACCUGAUCAUUUUCUUUCCACAUAUAGCAAGUCCAUCUUUGAUCCUCCACCUUUUUGAUGGGAACAGGUAAUAUGGAAAUACAAUAAAUAAUUAACAUAUAUUUUCCAUGACCUGAUAUUUUGCCGGUUAGAGUGAUCACUGCAGCUUCAGCUUGCUCGCAGUGAAAACAGAUCGUCAAGUUGUCUCUCAAUCUAGAGCGGAGGUGGAUGCAAAUGUUGUGCUGAAUUUUGUGCAUCAGUUAAUUCCUUUCUGAGUAACGCAGCAUAGAGAAGUUCGUUCCAUGAAUCAGGAACACCAGGCAGGCACCAGUGGCUACAGUCUUGCCGAUGGAGAGGAGCUGGUCCGGCCUUGGGCCCUAAAUAAUACAAAGAUGAGUGACCAUCUUUCCUCUGAGACGUCAUUCGUGACACAUUCAGUAGUUCUACAUUCUGCAAUUCAGACUUCUUUAUGAGAUUCACAAACACAUCAGUUGUUGUUCUUACUUCAACUGAUGUUUCAGAUGGCAAUCGUGAUGAAACCAAUUCAGGCAGUGUCUCCAGAUGACAGCUACCACCAGUCUUCCAGUCCCCACCUCUGUUCAUUUGAGUGAUUCGUUAAUUGCUUAUUUUGUGAACAAGGUAAAAAUGAUCACAGAACAGAGAACUACUGGCUAACCCCCUGUCCUGACAUGAGUCUGAAAGGAAUUGAGGUGAAAAGUCUGAGCAGUAAAUCAUCUUAAUUGAUAUCCUAUGUAUAACAAGGAUUUCAAGUAUCUAGCUUGGUACCAUUCAAUGGACCACGCCUGAUACCCGAUCAUAGUAGAAAACCUGAAUGAUACAACUGAGCGACUUCUAUAAAUGGUAAAACACAUUUGGUUAAUCCAGUCUUCGCAACAACAGAACAAAUUAGACAAACCUGAAAUGUACAGGAGCAUAGCUGCGGAAAAAUACGUGUGUCUUCUUUAGAUUGACCUCACGCCUUAUCCAAUCAACCAGUGUCUGAAUUGACCUGUGAAAUGCACUCUGUACGCUCAUAUCCAUCUCAACUUCUGCUCCUUCUUGGAAGUAACAACCCCUGAAGAGUGAAAAUGGUGAAUGUUCAGAUCCAGUAAAGCAGAGAAACCCGACCUUACAGCACUAGGUUUUAAUUGAAACAUCCCUGGUUUAUGUUCUGCAUUAUUACGUGCCAGAAUAUGGAAACUAAUAAUAAAGAUGCUCAAUCCUGUUUUAACACAUUAAGCAGACAUCACUCGAGAAAAAUAUUUACCGAAAAAUAGCACGAAAAGACAACUAAAUGGAACUAUGAUCUAGACAUCCUAUGGGAGUAGUGACUAUUUCGCCACUGCUCUCUUAUCAACUCAUUAUUCAGACCAUGGUACCUAAUCCUAAAAGUUCACCUUAACAUUUUUUUCAGCUAAUCACCCACAAGCCUAAUCAGCAAACAUGGUUUCUGUUAAUUGCUAGCUUGGCAUUGCUAUUAUAGCAGGAGAAUUUAAGGUAAAAGACUUGCAUUGAAUGGCUUUCCUGGAUCCGUCCAUUUAUGAGAGAGAAUUAGCAGCAUGAGUGACAAGAAAAGGUGAUGGUAAGCCAACAACAAGAGAAAUAUAUCUUACAGGUGACUAAUGACCGAUUUAGUUGUUUAGUAGGACAGAUGAACAAGCAACUCGUUCUCACGCAUUUUCCACAACCAGCGGACAUAAAUAUUCCAUCAAUGAAAUAAAUUUCAGAAAAUCUAAAGCCAACUAACAAAGAAGGUUAAAACAAGUUACCCUCUAAUAGUUUUCUCAUAAUUCCACCAGUGCCCACUGUUGAAAACUAGCACAUCUGCAUCUUUCCAGUUGGAAGAGCUCCAAUCCAUUUGAUCUAGUUUUAUAGUCAUCUUGACGUUUACUGGAGCUCCAGCAGGUGCACGACCCUGCACUACUAGAAAGGGAGCUCUAUAGUACUCAAUAGAACAGUUGAAAUCCCCGAACUUAAAGCUUAGGGAACCUGAGUGCUUUGUGAUUGAAUUCCCAUUAACUUCAUAUAUUGAGGUCUUAUCGGAGACUGCAGAAGACAACAUACAAAGAAGGGAUUCCCACUGGUUUCUUCCAAUUGAGUCCCCAACAAAUGCAAGGCGUCUGUUCCUCAAAUUUUCCAACAUCCUUUUUGCAUCAAACCUGUUUCCCAGUGGUGGUGACAAAAUUUAGUGAAAAAAAUCUUUAUCUUACCCUUUCCUAGGAACUCAUGUUUCCAACAUUAAUCAGUCAGUUCGACGACAUCAAUAAGAAAUGAGCCUCAAAGAAUGAGAUUGCUAGUUUCACAUAUAUUCACUUGGCGGAAGGGAUGAUGCUUAAGAACAUAAAGAUUAACUGGUUUUAAGAUAAUACCAUUGUCCAAAACCAGAACUUCUGGUAAUUUGGAACUUAAUGAAACGCAGUUAAAUCAUUUUGUCUCAUAGAGCUAGAGUCUCAUCUGUAAUGAAGAUGCUGUGCGUGGGAAUCAUGUACUUCUCUUAUGUACACCAAAUCCUCUGGCCUCUGCCCACUUAGUUGUCAAUAUGUAAUAUUUGAUUAUCUGAAGCCACAGUAUUGAAAUUAAGAUUGAAACUUGAGACGAUUAAAGCACCUUUGUCAUCAGUUGAUCACAAGAUACAAGACGUGCCAAAAAAGGACUGGCACUACAACAGGGCAUGACCUUUCCCAGAUUACCACUCCAAACGGGGGUAGUAACCAUUGUAGGUAGUAAACUAAAGAUUGCCUGAAGUCCUAUUAAAACCAGUGUCAAUAAAAAAAUUUAUGAUACUGAACAUUGAGGAACCUAGAAUGGUUAUUUGCAAAAACAUGUGUGCUGGUAACUUGAAAACUCCCAACAAUAACAAUUUUCUUGCCUAAUUGGCUAGCCAUCUCCCAGUUUUCACCAUUUUGCAAAUCUUUUAGUAUAUUCUUAGCAAUCAAAAGCAAAAUGCAAAAUGCAAAAUACAAGGGAGAAAUGUCGGAAAAGAAAGAUCAAAAAGAAAACCUGGGCAAGUAGCAAUCUUUGGGCUGCCAUCGCCACUUAGUAUAGAAUUUAUCAGGCCUGCCAUUCUCAGAGCACCGAAAUCCGGGAUCCAAAAACUUACAAUCUUCUGAUUGAUAGAGAGGAUAACUCUCGUCCCACAUCCAAUUACCAUCGAAGAUAUCACAUCCACUACCUCCAGCUUCGAGGAAAUUCACUUUCCCAUUUCCUAAAUCCCCGGGUUCUGCUGACGAUGAAGAAAAGGAACUAUUGAGACCAAACCAAGUGCGAAGUAAACUGUGGCCAUGCAAGCCGAAACCCCUGUUGGCCGUUCUGUAAUCCAGUAAAAGAAUACAAAAAAUCAAACAAAAGCUGAAGAAUAAACAGCCAAAAGCACCAGGAGAAGUGAGCUCAAGAGCGGGGGGCUUCAAGCGCCUGAAUUUCUUGAAGAAAUCCAAGGGGGACGUUUUGGGGAAGCCUUCAGGUCCCGGUGCUUCCGCUCCUUUACACAUUUAGUAGCAAGUAGUACUCGAAUUGGAAGAGGGAGGUUGUGGGUUUCUCUUUUUGCAGUGCAGUACUACUUCUGCUCCAGAGCAGGCAAAAAGAUGUCUGGGAUUGCGGCAGUGAGUUUUGUUCAGUUCAGGAAAGUGCAGGGUAAAUGCAGUCUCUCAAAAGACGAGAUGAAGAUGAUGAAAACAACACACGACAUAAAACAACAGUAGCAGUAGUAUUCUUUCCAAAACUAAAGAGAGAAAUAGAAAAUUUCGAAAAAACAUAAAGCAGUGUGGAAACAAAAGAAGAGGACUAGGAUCGAACGUGGGCCCUUGGUAGUGGAGAUACGUUCAUAUAUGAGUCGAAAGUCAUAAAACGGUACAGAAGAAAAGGUCGUGGGCCUAUAGAGAGAGAAGACAGAUUGGGAAGAUGAUGAUAGGAGGUGGGGUCCCGAACCUUGACAAGCAUUUACACACAAGCAUGCAGUUUCUGCACCGGCAAAUUUGUUCUUUUCUUUUGUUUUUUUAAAUUUGUUCAAUUUCUUUCUUAUGAUCAGUUUCUCGUUUACUGGCAACUAGUGGGAAUACCCGUUCAUAUGACAUUAUUGGAAAAAAAAUAAAAUGGUGAAUAAAUAAAGGUGAAAAAAUUUUACCAAUAAAAUUAAAAUAUAACAUCUGUUUAACAAUAGUUUGAAAUAUAAUAGAAUGUACAUAUCAUUCAAGAACCGUCUUUUUUCGGUUGUAUGAGAAUUUUUUUAUCAUUGUAUGAGAAUUGUUAACAAAAAAAUACAAUAGUUAAUAUAGAAUAACAUCAAUAGAAUUUAAUACAAUUGUGUUGUAAUCAAAUGAAAAAUACGCACCAAUUGAAUUGUUAUUAGUACCCAUAGUUAAUGAAGUAAUUCUUAUACAAAUAUAUUUUGGUACAUGUAGUAAUUGGUAAUCUACAAAAUAAAAUAAAUUGCUAAGUUGUCUAUAAAUAGCAUCAAUAGAAUGUAAUACAAUUGGAUUGUAAUCGAACAAUUGUAAUACAAUUGUAUUGUAUUGUAUCUAUAGUUGAUUUAGCAAGAUAGUGCAGCCAAAAAGUGUGUAUGUAAGAUGAGUAUGACGAUAUAAGAAACUGUAUAUUUACCAUGAUCACGCAAAAUCAUUGGUGAUGUGGAUGCCUGGCGAUCUUGAGGACAGUUAGAUUUUUCAUUUCUUUGAUCUAGAAAUAAAAUAUAUAUUAAAUUAAAAAUCAAUAGUUUAUGUAUUUAUUUUAUGUGUAAAUAGUGAUACAUUGUAUGAAAACUGUUAACCAAAAAAAUACAAUAAUUAAUAUAGAAAUAGCAUCAAUAGAAUUUAAUAGAAUUGCAUUGUAAUCAAAUGAAAAUGAUUACAGAGAAGUGGUUACCUGAACUAAGGAAUCCAGUUUUAAAUGCUCAAAAGUGUCUUGACGAUUACACAUAUGUCAGGGGCUUGGUGAGUUUUUUGCUCCUCUUGAAUCAAUUUCUUUUUUCUAAUUGUAAUAUAUUACUUGCAGGUGUUAAGUAGGACUUGACUCUAACCUUUCGUUUAAGUACUUUAAGCAAUGAACUAUUUAUUCCAUGAGUUGAAUUGUGCUGUUGCUAGAUAGAUGAAUCACGUAGUUGUAAUUGUCAUUGUUGAUAAAGAAAAGAAAGGCUAGAAUGCAAUUUUGCCAAAAGGAUUUCUGACGAAAUUAAAAAUUAAUCCAAUUUUAAUAAUGGGCGUAUAGUGCUUUAGUUAUUAGUAGUAUCUGAAUUGUUUUUCUCCAAUUAUAAACCAUUUUUAAUUAUUUUUUUUAAUUAUCAAUAAAUCUUUUUUUAUUUCAUGCACGAUCAUUUUUGGAAUAAAAUUAUGAAAAUAAUUAUCGUAACACCUAUUUUAUGUGAUAAAUGUGCAAUAAAAAAUAAUUAAAAAAAUUUCAGUAAUACAAACAAAUAAAUUUUUAUAAUAUACAAUUUAUGUUAGAAAUAGUAGAACCCUCAAUCAUUAACCUAUACCAUCCGCAAUUAUAUAAGCAAGCAAUACCUUUUUAUCUUUGCUUUACAGUGUAACAAUAAGCAAACAACCGUUCAUAAGAUUUUGUAAAAAAUUUUCAGAAAUAAUGGAUGAUCAGAAAAUCAAUGCAAUAUCAUUCAUGACAAAAAGCAAAGCAAAAGCAAAACAUACUUAAAAGGUAGAGGGGACUGACCUGAAAAUUAAGCCGGCCGCAAAAAGGUUGAUUUCUGUUGGAGUCUCUGCGCAUAAUAUCUUCCACUACUGCUCACAAAAGAAACAAAAUCAAUACAUUUACAAAAUCAAUAGAGAACCCAAAACAAAUAAGAAACUGAGAGAGAGGGUGAGAGAAUUAAUUCGAUAAGUUAAUUAAGUCGAUCAGUAAAAGGGUUGGAAAAAAAUUAUAGACAUAUUAUAUUAUUGGAAAUAAUCGAAAAUAAAAAAAUUACAAUAUGGGGAAUAAUAUUUAAAGAAAACACAGUACCGGAAUUUUUGAAUUUUGAUGCGAACGACGUUUUAAUCAGUGUAGCCUGGAUUUUGUCCUUCGGAUUUGAUUUGAGAUUUUUCUUUCGUCAGCGCAAACUUAUUGAAACUUUUUCAAUUGGUGUGUGGAAUCGUUACGGUGUAUGUUUCGUUUUCUAAGCAGAUAUUUCCUCCUUUGCAAUCUUGCGAGUUUGAAAUCUAGUUGUUGUUGAAAUGCUUGUAGGCGGACAUAUUCUAUGGUGAGGAAACUUUAGAUGGGUUCCCUACAAAUUUUGAGUGAAAUUUUUUAAUAUAUUAAAUAAUAGGACAACUUGAAUUUGGGACAGCAGAUAAGUGGGGCAAAGGUGAAAAAACACAAUAAUACUAAUCAAUAGCUAAAUGAGCAGGGUCACUUACUGAAAGGUAGUCACCGCCGGCUUCGUGAUGUCUGCCGAAGGUUCAAGAAAAGAAGUAUGAUGCGUACUAAGAAGAGCACCGGAGUUCUGGUACCAGGAUGGGAUAGCUUUCAGGUAUUUUCCUGUGUUAUGUGAAGACGCAAUUUUGAAUUAAAAAAAAAUGGGUCAUUAAGAGAUAGUUGGAGUGGACUGUUAAUUGGAGUGGGAAACGUGGAAAAAUUUGUAUGAGUGAUUGUAUGAUAAUUUAAGAUAGUGGGAUAGUGGGAGUGAGAUAGUGGAAAUAUUGAUUGGUGAUAAGGUGGGUUAUAACCCACUACUUUUUUAUCUAUUAAAAUAAAUACAAAAAUCUAGAAAAAAGUAUGACAAGUUUAGAAGACAUUGAGAGGGUUUCUGCUAAAAACCCCUUCCUGAAUACAUAUAGAUAUAGAUUGGCAAACGAGGAAAAAGAAGUCCUUUCUAGCUUUUAUUCAUCUGGCAGAGCUGGUUCCUUUCUCUUUUCUCCUGUUCUGAGGUUUACAGCCGCUAAAUCUUUCAGGUUCUCACACCUUUUUUUUUUGGUCUUCUUCUUUGGCUAGCAACGAGUUACAUGGGUUUGUAUAGAGAGUAUUAUUUGAUAUAAUUAUUAUAAUUUUUUUAUGAUGUGAUAUAUGCGUAAAUAAAAAUAUAAUUGGGAAUUUAAAAAAAUAAAUUAAAAAAUAUAUUUACAAUGCAAGCGAUAGCUCAAUUUUGUCAUAUUUGGUUUGCAUGUAAACAUAUUUUUCAAUUCACCUUUUUAUCUCACAUACGUUAUUUUUUGUGUUACAUACUUAUUUCAAAUAAUAUUUUAAAUAAUACUCUAUCCAGCAAAAUUAAGUACACCCACAUGUUAUCAAAAGAAGAUGAAAAAGGUAGCGUGCAUCUAUCAUCUCUUUAUUGCUGACUUAUCACAGAGAAACUGUGCCCCAAAAUAGAGAGAUAAUCACUAGUGGGAGAGUGAUAAAUGAUAAUGGCACGUUCUAUUAAUUAAUGCGUGUGAUAUAAUUGAGAGUGUGUAUUUAUCAUAGAUUAUUUGGGAUAAUGUUUUGAAAAAUAUAAUGUGAGAUAAAAUGGUGGUUAAAAAAUUGUAUUGAUGAUUUAAACAAAUAAAAUUAUCCAAAUAAUUUAGAAUUCAAACAAAAAUUAUGUAUAGUUAAUAACCAGUUACUACAACCAUGAUGGAUAGUAUUAAAUGAUUCAUAAUUGAACAAACAAAACAAGAUUUGGAUAACUAGGCCAUAUUCGGUGACCAAAUGAUAACUAUAGAUUAAACAUUUGUUCACUUAAAUACGUGACGGAAUUUUUGUUUAUCAUUAUUAUUAUUAUGAAUAUCAUGGGCGAGUAUUUGCACCGAAUUGAAUUAACUUGAAAGUUGAGUGCAACAGAGUCACGGUCUUAAUAAUAUCCUUGAUUUAGGAAAAGUUUUAAUCACAUAAAUGUUUCAUACGUAUGGAAUCAACUUUUGAUUUUAUCGUCCAAAUGCAAUUGGUUAAAAACUUAUAAAAAUGCAAACACAAAACAGUGGUUAAUUGAGCGCACGAACGAUGGAUGCGGACGCAGAUGGAGACGAUGAUAAGGCGGCCAAAAAUGAACAAGAGUGGACAAAAGGUGCUGUGCGUACGGAAGAAAGGGCGGGAAUCAAGGGAACGUGAAGAGACGAGCGGAGUUGUGGUGGCUAAGGCGGCUAGAGCUGUAAACGAAUCGAAUUGCUUAUGAGCGAGUCGAGUUAAAGUUCGUCUCGAGUUCGAACUGAUCAAAUCGAAUUCGGACUCGAAUUCGAGUUUAAAAUAUUAAAUUCGUUAGUUCGGGGAAUUUAAAUAUAUAUUUAUUUAUUUUAAUAGUAAAAUUACAUAUAUAUUUUUAAUAUUUUAUUAUUUAUUAAAAAAAUUAAAUAUUUGUUGUUUUUAUUAGAUUAAUUUCCAGAAAAGUGAGGCUCACGAAUCAAAAAUUCGAGUUACAUUACGAGUUGACAAUUCGAGCUGCUCGCGAGUCAGAAAUCGAGCUACAGCUUGCGAGCCUUGUCGACUCGAGCUCGAGUCUGGCUUUUCUUUGGUCGAGUCGAGCUCGAGCUCAAUUUUCUUGGCUCGUCCAGUUCGAGUUCGAAUUCGAGUCUAUCUGUUAUUAAGUCAAGCUCGACUCGAUAAAUCCAAAACUAGAUUCGAUUCGAUUCGAUUCGUUUGCAACCCUAGCACGGACAAUGCUUCUUGACAGGUAAUGCUCUGCGACUAUUACAAACUAGUGCAAAUUAAAAACUAUUUCUCAUGACAUUCUGGCAUUCUCACUCUUGUGUUUGGACGGCGGACCAAGACCAUGUCCCUCGUAAAAUUAAAUUGAUAAAAUUUAUUUCUAACUUAAGUUUUUGAUCACUUUUUUGUGAAUUCACCAUGUGACUCACAUAUGAUCAUUUUUUAGGAGUAAAAAUGCUAGAUCUAAUUUGUAAGUAAAUAAACUGCUCAAUUUAUAUUCAUUUUUGUCUUUUAAAAAAAAUGAAUUACAGCGGCACUCCUAUCUUAUGCACUUUCAGAGUCCAAAUUACUGCGACAGUUAUCAUCUAAACAUACAUCACAAAUUACUACACUUUGUUAAGUAGUGGUAAUAAAUUUGACUUUUUGCAAGUAACUAAAGUGAAGAAAACUUGCUAGUCAUUACUAUGUAAUAUUACCGACAAAUAAACCACCGUUUUGUUAUUAUUCUCACAAACCGAUAAAUUUAUAUUUUUGAUGGUAUUAUUGUCAUAGCAGUUAUAGUAGGCAACGACCGUUUGCCGACCAAUUAAUUUGAAAAGAUAAAUUAAUAGUACUCGAAAGGACCUUGUAAUAUCUAGAAUUUAUAUCAGGAGACAAGACAGCAAACCUCACCUUCACGAUCCACGUAUUAAUAAAAAAUAAAAUAGUCAUAUUGAGACGAAAAUGGGAUGGUCAACUUAGAUUUAGUAUGUAAUUUAUCCGCAAUGGAUCUUUUGUCCUACACUUUGUACCAUUCUUUGUCUCAUUUUUUAUUAUAUUGCUAUUUUUUCUACAUAAAUACCAUAUUUUAAUUCUUUUUUUUGUUUCCUUAAGAUCCAAUAACUAUUAACUGAAUAAAAAAUCAAUACAACAGCUUCAAAAAAGUAAUAUAUAAUAGAAAAUUAAAAAAUACAGCAAAAAAUUCAUAAAAAAAUCUCAUUUUUUAUGCAUUUUGAUUUUUUGAGUUUGUUAAAUUUUGUAUAUUACUCAGUUAAUAAUUAUUGGAUCUUAAGAAAACAAAAAAGAACUAAAAUAUGAUGUUUAUAUAAGAGAAAUAGCAAUAUAAUAAAAAAUGGGACAAAAAAUGACAUAAAAUGUGGGACAGAAGAUUCGUUACGUAAUUUAUCGCGUGAAAGCUCAGUCAUACACCUCAGAAAGAAAGUCAAAAGGAUCAUAUGGUUAGACUGACAGAGGAACAAAAUUAUUGAGGCCAUGCGGAGUUCAUCAAUAGUAAUCCGCAAAUUGCUUAUCCUCAGUUGUUGCCAUCAAUCAAAUCGUUAGUUAAGUCGAUACCCCACGUUAAAUGAGAAUCUUAGUUGCUAACUAAGAUUGAAGCAGUUUUGGACAGAAAUCUUUUUGCUUAUCAGCUGACAAUCUUUCAAAGAAAAAGAGGAGUAGUACUACUCAUCAAUCCAAUCCAGUGGUAGAUUUUUACAGGUAGAGAAGCAUCAGAAGAAGUGAUCACACUUGCAGGGUUCACAAAAAGUAGUAACAGAAUGUCAUACAUACUGCAAUGCCACCUAAAAUAAAAAUUCUAUCCAACCUGCUUUCAUUUCUCAUCUUUUCCUCUUUUAGUUCACUCUGCACCUUCGAGUACAGAAGACAAGACUCGAGGGCCUCGCUAUAAUUUUUGCUCCUCCUGCAGCUCAGUGCUUCUUUUAGGACAAGCAAACUGUUUCUGCCAUUUACAUGAGCACCUUCCAUAUCUUCCAGUUGCAUGCUCAGUUCUGUCAACUUGAGAGUUGUCUGGACUCCAAUCCCCUCCGUAUGGAUCACCCUAAACCUCAUUAAAAGGAUGCAUUCGACUGCAGGACAUGGAAGAAUGUCCUUGGCAGGAAGAACGGAUCCAAAUCUUAUCAAAAAAUCCUUGUCAGUUGGCCAAUGUCUCUGCCCUCCGAGAGAGCUCCAGCUUGAGAGAUUAGCAGCCUGCUUAAUUUUGCUGUUCACAAGAAUCCAACUUAAGCGGAUUCCAUCGUGGAGAUCUUGCCAAAGCUUCCCGUCUUUCCUUUCUUUUUCCAUUGAUGUGAUCGGAGGCAAUCCGUCUGAAACAGAGAGCUUUACUUCACCAGCAUGGUCAUCAUCCCUGGCAGAGUUGGUGAGCAGAUCAAUCCGGAAAGGACAAUUGAAAAACCAACCAUUCAAGCCGUUAGCAUUUGGGAUGCCCCAAAGGACUUUCGAGCAGAUGGUUUGGUCCUUGUACCUUAUAUCCACUAUAGAAACAAAAUCUGAUGGUGAGAAAGUUUCCAGUUCAUCCAUAUCAUCAUAGUAAUCAGCUUCAUUCCAUUCUUCAGGAUGGUGAAGAUAGUCAUUAAACCGAAACUCGGGAACUUCCUUGUUCACUAUAAGAGGGAAACAAUCAGCAUAGAACUUUUUAAAUCCACCAAUAGAUGAUAUCAGACUUCUGACAUCAUCCCUGCUUGUUGAGGGCCACAUGGAAGAGCAAACAUUUUCCCAUAAUCUCUCUUCCUUUGAGAUGGAGGAAAAUGCUGCGCAAGCACAUGCUGCACCAGCCAAUGUUGCACCAUCAAGACGCCUCAGUAUGUCAUAGAAUAAAUCGCUACUCAGCGAUGCCAUAUGUUCAAUUGUUGCAAGAGAUUUUAAGUAGUUCUACAUCUGGAAACAUAAGAACAAUGAGAUGCCCAGAGACAUAAGACCACUUUGAACAUGAUAUCUGCAAUCAAAUCGCAUAAGGAAAAUAAACGUGCAUAAAAAUAAAAAAGCCCGCUUCCAUACUCAUUAAUUACUUUGCCACUCGAAUCCAAGAUAAAGGCAGAUUGUAGUAUCUAUGGCGGAAUGUAAAGCUAAACUCCAUAAAACAUGUUAAUAUUACUAAUUCAGGGAUCAGAAAUGAGAGCAUAUUAAUUUUAGUCUCGAUAUUAUCUUCUGAAAUUAUAAGUUCUUACUCUCAAAGCCUUGAUGUCCUUGUGUAGCAUACCGGAGAGCAAACUAGUAAAACGAAUGAAAUAAUCCUUCAAUGGGUAAGUAAGUAGCGCAGAGAUAAAUUGUGCGAUACACCAAGUAAAUGUAAUCACCUAACAUUCCUUGUCCUGAAGCAGCGAGGAUCCGUUCCCCAUCUUCAGUUUCUUUUCUUUUGUGUUCUGGGCUUAUCUUUAGCUUUAAAGUAAUGCUCUUAGCAGUGUUCAUUUGGGGUAUAUUGAACCACACAGGAGUGAAGUAGUGUACAAUUGUUCUAUUACUAUAAUAAUUCUGGAAAUGGACGAAGUUUUCGAAUCUAGCUCGUGAAUUUACAGUUGCCCUGUAUCUUCUUUAAAAUGACUGGAAACAACUUGCAGCCUUAGCUAUGAUAUAGUUACAACUUCCAACCAAGCACGCAGCUGUACCAUACCGUGUCCUCUGAGAUUAAUGUCUCUUUUUUUUUUUUUUUUUAAAAAAAAAAAACUCUCGAUUGACCAAUCCAAAAGAAAUAGAAUCAGAAAAUGAAAACGGAUGAUGAAAUUAAAGAAUAAGACAUUAAAGGGAACAAGGAUGAAGGAAAGAUUUAGAAAACCAGAUAUUACCGGAAUGUAGAAUCUAAGGAACUGAAAACUAUGCCUAUCACAUAACAGGCGGAAUAGGACGACAAACUAAUAAUACUUCAUCAGGAUCAUGUGAAGUAGACACAAAAUAGUGCUUCAAAAUCAAGAAAAUAGUCCUUGAGAGGACAUCAAGUUAUAAAAAGCAAAAAAAAAAAAAAAAAGUGCUUCAAAAUCAAGAAAAUAAAAAUCAAUUAAAGAGAAAGAGAAAGCACCUCAGACCGCCGGAGGAGGAGGAGGAGGAGGAGGGCAACAGCAGAUUGAUGCGUCACUUGUACUAAGGAAACUAGCGCUCAGACAGUACAAUGAAUUGGGUUGGAAAACGCAAUAAUGAUGAUUGAAAAAAAAAGAAUAAAAAUGACCCAGUACCAGUAGUAGGGAACUGUAAAAGAUUUCGAUGGGAACGGUAUGGAAGAAGAGAUCUUUUUUGGGUAAGGUAAGAAGAAGAAGGUGAUGAAGAGUAGUGACAGUGAGCUCUGAUAGCUAGUAGUAGUAUUUACUAGUAAUAUGACUGGGGAGGAGUUGGAGGCACAGCCAUUAUUACUAUGACUGGGGACAAGCUGUUGCCUUGUUGGAGUAGGAGACGCAGACGCUUCUUUCCUUUCUUCCAGCCAGCAAAGAUGAGGAGAUGUGGAUUACUAUUCGAUUAGGUCAUCGGCUUGAUUAAAUGUGUAAUUAGUGUCUGGACGCGUAGUAGGGGGCCCGUCAAUAACAACGUGCAUUAAGUGGACCAAUGACGAUCUUCGCGAAUCGCAAGCCAGGACCGGGACCCCCUUCCUCGCUCCCCAUUGCCUCCGGAACAGGGAAGUACAUGUGUUUGAAAAAAUUUAUUUCACUUAAAUCGUAAAUAUAUUUUUAAUUAUUUUUUAUUUCAUAUAUAUCAUAUCACAAAAUAAAAAGUACUUUAAUAUUAUAAUAAAUAACAUUUUUCAAAUAAUAAGUAGUAUUAUUAUUGUCAUUUGCUUUCCUCAUCUAAUUAUUUUUCUUUUUAGAAUUUGUUGAACAAAAUGGGAUUCAUGUAGUUUCUCUCGAUUACCUUGAAUUAUUUCGCCUAAUUCUUGAAAUUGUUUUUUUUUAAAUGUAUUAUUAUCUAUAUCUAUAUGUAUUCAGGAAGGGAUUUUUAGCAGAAACCCUCUCAAUGCCUUUUAAACUUGUCAUACUUUUUUCUAGAUUUUUGUAUUUAUUUUAAUAUAUAAAAAAGUAGUGGGUUAUAACCCACCUUAUCACCAAUCAAUAUUCACACUAUCCCACUAUCACCUUAUCACCAAUCAAUAUCCCCACUAUCUUUCUUCCACUAUCCCACUAUCUUAAUUCAUAUUUUUGUAUUUAUUUUAAUACAUAAAAAAGUAAUGGAUUAUAACCCACCUUAUCACCAAUCAAUAUUCCCACUAUCCCACUAUCACCUUAUCACCCAUCAAUAUUCCCACUAUGUCACUCCCACUAUUCCACUAUCUUAACUCAUCCUACAAUUACUCCUACAAAUUCUUCUUUUACUGAUCGACUUAAUUAACUUAUCGAGUUAAUUCCCUCACCCUCUCUCUCAGUUUCUUAUUUGUUUUGGGUUCUCUAUUGAUUUUGUAAAUGUAUUUAUUUUGUUUCUUUUGUGAGUAGUAGUGGAAGAUAUUAUGUGCAGAGACUCCAGCAGAAAUCAACCUUUUUGCGGCCGGCUUAAUUUUUCAGGUCAGUCCCCUCUGCCUUUUAAGUAUGUUUUGCUUUUGCUUUGUUUUUUGUCAUGAAUGAUAUUGCAUUGAUUUUCUGAUCAUCCAUUAUUUCUGAAAAUUUUUUACAAAAUCUUAUGAACGGUUGUUUGCUUAUUGUUACACUGUAAAGCAAAGAUAAAAAGGUAUUGUUUGCUUAUAUAAUUGCGGAUGGUAUAGGUUCAUGAUUGAGGGUUCUACUAUUUCUAAUAUAAAUUGUAUAUUAUAAACAUUUAUUUGUUUGUAUUACUGAAAUUUUUUUAAUUAUUUUUUAUUGCAUAUUUAUCACAUAAAAUAGGUGUUACGAUAGUUAUUUUCAUAAUUUUAUUCCAAAAAUGAUCGUGCAUGAAAUAAAAAAAGAUUUUUUGAUAAUUAAAAAAAAUAAUUAAAAAUGAUUUAUAAUUGGAGAAAAACAAUUCAGAUACUACUAAUAACUAAAGCACUAUACACCCAUUAUUAAAAUUGGAUUAAUUUUUAAUUUCGUCAGAAAUCCUUUUGGCAAAAUUGCAUUCUAGCCUUUCUUUUCUUUAUCAACAAUGACAAUUACAACUACGUGAUUCAUCUAUCUAGCAACAACACGAUUCAACUCAUGGAAUAAAUAGUUCAUUGCUUAAAGUACUUAAACGAAAGGUUAGAGCCAAGUCCUACUUAACACCUGCAAGUAAUAUAUUACAAUUAGAAAAAAGAAAAUGAUUCAAGAGGAGCAAAAAACUCACCAAGCGCCUGACAUAUGUGCAAUCGUCAAUGCAUUUUUGAGCAUUUAAAACUGCAUUCCUUAGUUCUGGUAACCACCUCUCUGUAAUUGUUUUCAUUUGAUUACAAUGCAAUUCUAUUAAAUUCUAUUGAUGCUAUUUCUAUAUUAAUUAUUUUAUUUUUUUGGUUAACAGUUCUCAUACAAUGUAUCACUAUUUACACAUAAAAUAAAUACAUAAACUAUUGAUUUUUAAUUUAAUAUAUAUUUUAUUUCUAGAUCAAAGAAAUGAAAAAUCUAACUGUCCUCGAGAUCGUCAGGCAUCUACAUCACCAAUGAUUUUGUGUGAUCAUGGUAAAUAUACAGUUUCUUAUAUCGUCAUACUCAUCUUACAUACACACUUUUUGACUGCACUAUCUUGCUAAAUCAACUAUAGAUACAAUACAAUACAAUUGUAUUACAAUUGUUCGAUUACAAUACAAUUGUAUUACAUUCUAUUGAUGCUAUUUAUAGACAACUUAGCAAUUUUAUAGAUUAGCAAUUUAUUUUAUUUUAUAGAUUACCAAUUACUACAUAUACCAAAAUAUUUUUAUAUAGGGAUUACUUCAUUAACUAUGGGUGCUAAUAACAAUUCAGUUGGUGCGUAUUUUUCAUUUGAUUACAACACAAUUGUAUUAAAUUCUAUUGAUGCUAUUCUAUAUUAACUAUUAUAUUUUUUUGUUAACAAUUCUCAUACAAUGAUAAAAAAAUUCUCAUACAACCGAAAAAAGAUGGUUCUUGAAUGAUAUAUACAUUCUAUUAUAUUUCAAACUAUUGUUAAACAGAUAUUAUAUUUUAAUUUUGUUGGUAAAAUUUUUUCACCUUUAUUUGUUCACCAUUUUAUUUUUUUUCAAUAAUGUCAGCACCGUGCAUAGCACGGGUAUUCCCACUAGUAGUAUUGUAAGUUAGGAGCCUAGCUUAACUAUAACUUGUAAGUUAUAAUUAAAAACAGUCAAAUCCAAACAAAGCCUAGCUUAAUUAUAACUUGCGAGUUAGAAGUUUGAACUGGACUCUCAAACACACUUUAUUCGCUCUUGGUAAAGUGGAGCUUUUGCUUGUGAUGGUUAGCUUCCAUAAUGCGUAAAGACCCAAAAGUUUAAAUUUAAAGAAAAAGAACAAUGCAACCCUCAAUACUCGCAAUACAUACAUAAAUAGUUUAUUGGGAAAAUCAUUUAAAAUGUCCCAUAUGUCUCGCCAAAUGAAUUUUUUCGUCCUUUAAUUUUAAAAUUUUAACUUUACGUCUCUUACAAAUUAAAGUUAAUAGAUUUUAGUUGAAUUUUCGGUCAUUUUUAGUUUGAAAAUCACCAUGUGAUCUAGAUGUGAUCAAUUUUUAUACAUAGAAAGAAAAGGUUAAAAUCUUGAUUUUUUAGGAGCAAAAAAUGGAUACGGAUCGAGUCAUAUCUCAUUUUUUCUAAGAAAAAAAUUAAAUAUGAAUCAGAUCAAAUUUUAAUUUUUUUAGAGACAAAACUAAAUAUGAAUCGGAUAAUUUGUUUCACUACAAAUGAGAUCUAACGUUUUUGCCAAAAAAAAAAAAAAUCAUGUAUACAUCAUGUGAUGGAUUUAAGGUAAAAAGAGUGAUUGAAAACUUUGGUUAGGAUCAUUUUGCUAAUUUGAUUUUGUAAGGUACGUAAAGUUACGAUUUUAAAAAUGAUGCACUAAGAAAUUCAUUGAACAAAGUGUAAGGAAUCUUUUGAACGAUUUUCCGUAGUUUCUAGCUCUUAUCUUACUUUCAGUUUUCUAUUUCAAAUGACAAUUUUCUACACGACUUGUGUUCCUUAUCUUUUCGUUUUUAAAGAGAGAAGACAAUGGCAAUGCUCCAUCUCACGUCGAACGAACAUUCUUUCUAUUUAGGAGGAAAUAUCAAGGGCAUUUUGGUUGGAUAUGCAUUCAACCGCACACUACAUUUUGGCCGACGGUCUGACACAACAAAAAUCUAUAAUUAUUUGGUUCCGGAACUGCAGCAUGAUUUGUUUGCAAGGCAUUGGUCUAUCUAUCACUUUUACCUUUGCAUUUGUUUGAUAUAUGAGCUGUCGGAUAUAAAUGUCUUUUUAUGUAAUUAUAUAUAUAUAUAUAAUGGGAAUAGCUUGGAAGGGAAGUUUACUACUCCAUAUUAUUAUUUUGUCUUGGGUUUCAUGUGAAUUUCAACUGGAAUUCACAUGAUCAAUGAUGGGGAUCCAGCAUUCAACCACCCUUGUUCCUGAAGCAUCCUCCCUAACUCUUCUAGUUCAUGGAGUACACCAAUUGCAUGAGCAUGCCGGAAAAGAGAGGAGGUUUAGGUGACCUAAAUUGCAUGAGCAUGCCGGAAAAGGAACCGGCAACCGAUUUUUCCAAAAUUGGCAUUUGAUGCUCUCCACCCGCCGUCCGUCAACCAUGCAGCACUUAAUAAUAUUUAGAUGCGGGCAUUAAUAUUCUCGAGUCUAAGAAUGAACCCGCCGUAGUGAUGACUCUUCUUGGGUCGUUAGCAAACCAGUAAACUGAAACAAGGUUUGUCUCAUCUAUUACCCUCCCAUCGAUAAAUUCAUACAAAAAUUUGGAGCAUUCGAAAACAGAUGGCUAUGAUCUCAAGCAAAUUCCUUCUUUGCUUGCCAUAUUCAAAGCAUAGGAAAUUCCUUCUUUGCUGUUAUAUUCUGUCUAAGCAUAAAUUGGGGAACCCAGCUACUGCGCAAGUGGUUGCGAUGCGGUGUUUGAUUUCUAUGACUGUUAAGUAAAUCCUUAGCGGUGGUGUCUAUCCCUUAGUUGUCCCGUCGCUGUUUGUCCAAUUAUCGCAAUUAAGAUGAACACUCCAAACACUGCUAGUAGCAGUACUAUUUAUUACUAAUCAAUUCACCCCCUAUUUCCAUCAUCAACCUUUGUUUUAUCUGCAAACACUGGAAAUCAAUCCAAAAGGCAUUUAUUGCUUUGCAUCCUCCUAAUUUUGCUACCUGAACGAGGCUACUCUGAUAACAUCUUACAUACCACAGUCCGUCCAUAUAUAUAAAAUCCCCAAAAAAUAUAAAAAUCAACAAAGUCGACUAAUAAAUAAUUAAACCUAAAAACAAGUAUGCACAGGAUCCACUUAAUCGAGAAACACAAACAGAAGAUUGCCAACACAAAGAAAUUCAAAUUCUAUGAAUUAAUCAGUGAGGCAAUCCAUAACAGCUGAUGAUGCAUCCAAAAUAUUAGACUUGCCAGUAAGUAUUAAUGGAAAUUCUGCGGUGGUACUCGUUAUCUCAUCUCUCCUGCAACAGAGAAGGCUAUGACCUUUUUUUUCUCUUUUUUCUUUUUUUUUUGGACUAAUACUACCAUAGAACCGGUAGCAGUAACAUUCAUAAGCAGAUUAGAGCGGAAAAUUGAGUUACACGUUGAACAACAAGUAUGUGGAGAAGUAAUCACUUGUCGGCGUCGGAUGCAUGAGGCUCGUCGCGGGCCUCGUCCGUUUUCUCAGCACUGUCGCUGACGUCAUCAGGGUCACGAGCGGGAUCAGACUUGUCCAUGGCCGCUCGAGCUCUCUGGAGCCAGGGUUUGAAAGCGAGCUCUAUGGUCAGCCACCCCAUGGCAAGGGCUCCCAACACCACCGCCGCCGACUUUGCUGGGUUUAAGUUCAACUUCGCCAUUGAUUAAGUUGCUUCCCUGCGCCGACUAGAUAUGAUAGAUACACGCUAACCACUUGUCUUACUAUUAUAGCUUGUGGAAUCUCUGUCUCGCUAUUCUGGGUUUUGGGCUACGCCGACUUGCAUCCGAGUAUAUAGACACAUUGAUGCCCCUUUCGAGGGGAUGGCGCUAACCAAUUGGCAAAUUCCUACAUACGGCUCCUACUUGGGCCCAAAAGCAAUUUGGCUCCUACUUAGCCAAUCUCUCUCUCUCUCUCUACCCCAAAAAAAAAACAAAAACUUAAAAUCUUUUUUCGUCACGAAUUCUCGCUCACGGGAGAAAAAGCGCCAUACCACAAUGAUGGCCAUGGACUUUGCGUGGGGAUUGUUGGAU
rnacentral:lncRNA from 1 species